rnacentral:rRNA from 1 species
AGUUGAUCCUGGCUCAGGAUGAACGCUAGCGGCAGGCUUAACACAUGCAAGUCGAGGGGCAGCGCGAGUAGCAAUACUUGGCGGCGACCGGCGCAAGGGUGCGUAACGCGUGAGCAACAUGCCCGUAUCAGGGGGAUAAUCCAGGGAAACUUGGUCUAAUACCCCAUAGUAAUUUUGUAAGGCAUCUUAUAAGAUUUAAAGCUUUGGUGGAUACGGAUUGGCUCGCGUGACAUUAGCUGGAUGGUAAGGUAACGGCUUACCAUGGCUAUGAUGUCUAGGGGUUCUGAGAGGAAGGUCCCCACACUGGAACUGAGACACGGUCCAGACUCCUACGGGAGGCAGCAGUGAGGAAUAUUGGGCAAUGGAUGGAAAUCUGAUCCAGCCAUGCCGCGUAGAAGGAAGAAGGUCCUAUGGAUUGUAAACUUCUUUUGUAUGGGAGCAAUAAGGCCUACGAGUAGGUUGAUGAGAGUACCAUACGAAUAAGCACCGGCUAACUCCGUGCCAGCCGCCGC